UCCGGCCAGUCCACAGAGCACAGCUCAGCUGUGGUAAACAAGUUAGCAUGGUUUGAUAACAACCAUGGGCGAGAACUGUGGACACUGAGUGGGGGUGAGGAGGGAUUACUGACUGAAGAGAGAAGCUCAGACCCUGUGGAAAGGCUUGGGGUGAUGACCCACCUGUCAGGUACUUGUAACCCGUGGUGCUGGGAGGUGGAGACAGAAGGACCAUUGGAUCUUGCUGGCUUUCAGCUUAGUUCCAAGUCGCAGGAGACCUUGUCUCAAGGCAGUAAAAGAAUGACAGAGCAGGACAUCAGACGCCCCUCCUCGGCUUCUGCAUACAAGAGCAUAGGCAAGUAAAUAAAACGGUGUAUAUCAAAAAGUACAUGCCGGCCAGGGAAGACACGUGAAUGCAGACAAAGGGAGGAGCGGCUGCUUUUCUAGGUCCCGUUUUCCAGCAGAGAAUCAAGAGACAUACAAAGAAACAGGAGAACAAGGCCAUCCCUAGAACGAAGACGUGACGUUAUCCUUCAGUAACGACUACUUCCGAUAAGUUCUCGUAUGGGAUUAAGCUUAGCAGAGAUUCGAAUCAGACUGUUUUAAUUUUAGGGCCUUCAGAGACAACAAGACUAUAGAAAUGUUCACAAAACUUGUAUCAAUAGACAUGGGAAGGGAUUAAAAAUGUGUUACUCUAAAAUACAAUCACCGAACUGUUGCGGUAAAUAUUUAAAAACAUGGUAACCUUUUAUCCUGUGCUAGCACUCGUAGGGCCACGUGGCACUGCAGGGGAUCUUUAGCUCAGCAGCCCCAUGCUGUCUCCAAGUACUCUCUGACCCAGGUGGUCCAAGAGCCGUUCCAGCGUGGCACCUUGCCACUGGUCUACUGAGUUAGUUCCGGCACCCAUGGGGCUGCUUGGAAUUAACCAUAAUUCAUCUCAGAUUAUUAUCUCUCCCAGUGGCUCUCUGCUAGCCACCAACUCUCUGGUUCCAGCUACCUGGUAAAAUCAAGACUGCAAUGAACUGCAGCCCAACAAUCCGACUUAUAUGUUAAAUUCUCAAUCCACAAUACAUCCACACAAUAAACUCUCAACCAAUUGCUAAGGAUAUAAACCGCCCACCUAGAUAAGAUAAAUUUGCCUACAGAAAUCCAUCCCUUAAGAAAUAUACCUUGGGGGCUGGCUCUUCCAGAGGUCAUGAGUUCAAUUCCCAGCAACCACAUGGUGGCUCACAACCAUCUGUAAAGAGAUCUGGUGUAUCUGAAGACAGCUACAGUGUACUCAUAUAUAAUAAAUAAAAUAAAUAUUAAAAAAAAAAAAAAAAAAAA